CACUACAAUGAACAAAUGGCAUUCGAAAACUAUGUCCACACCUCUCUUGCUCACAAUGAGCAGAAUUGGAAUAACCAGCGUCAAUGGAACCAAAUCACCACUCAGACGUUGGCCUCUAUUCAAGAAGGGCAAGACCAAGCCAACAACACUCUAAGUGACAUCUUCGCGUUCCUAUAGAUCCUCAAAGAAGACUAGCUUGGGGGAGGACCCCCAUUAUCAAGGUAUAUUUUCUUUUUCCCUACAUUUUGAUUUAUUUCCUUUCUCUUAAAUAAAUAUUUAAUUUGUUUAAGUUUGAGUUUGCUUAAAAAUCAAAACCAAAUAAUAAGAGUGUGUAAUAUAAGUUUGCUUUAUUUUUAUGUUAAGUUUGCUAUAAAUAAAAUAUGGAGAGAUGAAGAAGGCAUGAUGGAAAUGAUGAAUAGUUGCUCUACCUUAAUUCUUUUCAAGUACCUAGUUUUAAAUUUCUAUUCUCCCAGGGAUUAGAUACACUGUUAGACAACUGAAUUUACUCUACUCUUUAAACCUGUAGGAGCAUAUGCUUAAACUAAGUCUAGGUAGUUGAUGGAUAUGAUAUGAUAUAGUUUGAGCUGUUGUUUAUUAUGUUCCUAGUGCUACUAAAUUCUGGAGAAUUAUUUUAUGAAAAUUAAAAUGAUUCAUGAUGACUUCUAUGUAUGAUAGAGAGUAUAAAAUUCCUACCACAACCAUAUUUAUUCAGAAUAGGAAGCCUCCACAUAUAUGUAGGGCUUUGUGUUUGCUCGAGCUGUGUUGACCCUUAGGAACUCGUCAGGUGACUAAUCCCGGUAUCACGAGCAACCAUGUUCACCCUUUUGCUGCUUCUACUCUAGAAAUACGCACCACAUAAAUAUUCCAUUUUCACCUAUCCAAAAAUGUUCCACUCUUACAAUGAGAGUGAACACCAAAAAUAUUCCCCUUCCUUAUUUGCUAGCCAAUUAUCUUAUGUUCAAUGCUCUAGGUUUUAUCUCUUAUUCCUCUACAAAAUAUUUAUUAAAAAAAAUUGAUGGGCUGCAAGAAAAUUAUUGGACAAAAGUUCCAUAAAAGAAAAAAAAGAAAGAAAGAUUUAUGAGCCCAAGUUGAUUACCAAUUUUUCAAGUUCAAAGUUAGAGGAAUCAUUCCAAGUAAAGGAGCAUUAGAAUUAUUUUGCACCCAUUCCCUUUCCACAAAUAUUCUCUAGUUUAGCAUAAACUUAUAAAACCACACAUGCACAAAACGGUUGGUUAUGUGGUGAGUUUAUUUGAAUCCAUGGUUCGAUCAGACCCAAUGCAUUAGCUACCUCCACACCUAUGAGGUCCACAUAAGCUUUAUUAGAUAUAGGGUGAGAGAGAGUGAAGGCUAUAUAAAUGUCUUGUGCCAUAAAUACUAGAUGUUUUGAGAUCAAGAGAAAAGGCAUCACUCCUUUCAAUGCCUUAGAGAGGAUCCAAACAUACCACAUAAUGAGAGACUUGAAAGGAUCAUACUAAAGAACUAUGAGUUUUAUUUUGAAAAUUAUAAAAACUCUAGGACAGGUAGAACAAUGGAGCAUGAGACAAUAGUGCAUGACAUAAUUGUUCUAUCUUUCAACUUCUCAAGACCCAAGUAUAGGUAAAAGUCCCAUGGUUGGAAGAAAUAUGAGU
rnacentral:lncRNA from 1 species